rnacentral:rRNA from 1 species
ACCCGUUGAUCCUGCGGGAGGCUGCUGCUAUUAGAAUUCCAUUUAGCCAUGCAAGUCUGGUUUUUCUUCGGAGGAAACAGGCGAAAUGCUCAGUAACAUGUCGACAACCUACCCUAUUGUUUUGGACAGCCUCGGGAAACUGAGAUUAGCACAAAAUAGGAUGUAUAUACUGGAAUGUUUUACAUCUCAAGAUAGGAUGGGUCGGCACCUGAUUAGGCAGUUGGUGAGGUAACGGCUCACCAAACCUACGAUCAGUAAGGGCUUUGAGAGAAGUAGCCCUGAGAAGGGAACUGAGAAAAGGUCCCUAGCCCUACGGGGUGCAGCAGGCGGGAAACCUUUACAAUGCACGAAAGUGUGAUAAGGGGAUUCUAAGUGCUUAUGUAAACGCAUAGGCUUUUUGUAAGACUAAAAAUCUUGCAGAAUAAGUGAUGCGCAAGACUGGUGCCAGCCGGCGCGGUAACACCAGCGUCACAAGUGGGAGCCACAUUUAUUGGGUCUAAAGCGUCCGUAGCUGGUUUAGACAGUUUUUUGUGAAAUCGUAGAACUCAAUUUUACGGCGAGCAAAAAUACUACUUUACUUGAGACCGGGAGAAGUAAGAGGUAUUUCGAGGUUAGCGGUAAAAUGCGUUGACCCUUGGAAGACCACCGAUGGCGAAGGCAUCUUACUAGAACGGGUCUGACAGUGAGGGACGAAAGCCAGGGGAGCAAACCGGAUUAGAUACCCGAGUAGUCCUGGCCGUAAACGCUGUGUACUAGACAUAGCAUCAUCUUCAAGGUGAUGCUGUGUCGUAGAGAAGUCGUUAAGUACACCACCUGGGAAGUACGGUCGCAAGGCUGAAACUUAAAGGAAUUGGCGGGGAGACACCACCAGGCGUGCUUCGUGCGGUUUAAUUCAACUCCACACGGAAAAUCUUACCAGAACCGACAGCAGAAUGAAAGCCAAGCUAAAGACUUUGCUUAACGCGCUGAAAGGUAUUGCAUGGCCGACGUCAGCUCGUGCUGCAAGGUGUCCAGUUAAGUCUGGUAUCGAGCAAGACCUGUAUCUACAAUUGCUAACAGCAUGUCCGCAUGGACUGAGCACAUUGUAGAGACUGCCCUGGAAACGGGGAGGAAGGUGCAGGCAACGUUAGGUCUGUAUGAUCUUAAUGUUCUGGGCUACACGCGCGAUGCAAUGGUGGGACAAUGGGAUACAACUCCGAAAGGAGAAGUUAAACCUCUAAACCCUACCUUAGUUCAGAUUGAGGUUUGUAACUCAGCCUCAUGAAGCCGGAAUGCCUAGUAAUCGGAAGUUAUCAACUUCCGGUGAAUAUGUCCCUGUCUCUUGCACACACCGCCCGUCAAACCAUCCGAGCAGGCUUUAGAUGAGUGUUAUUUAAUCUUGAAUAAUUCGAAUCUGAGGUCAGUAAGAAGGGUUAAGUCGUCACAAGGUA